GGGCCUAUGGUCCAACGGUUAAGACACCACCUUCACACGGUGGAAGCGAGAGUUCGACUCUCUCUAGGCCCA
rnacentral:tRNA from 1 species